UUGGCAUGUCACUGCCAUAUAAUAUCUUAUGCAGAGUGUUGUGAUUAAUCUUCAGUGUCAGCUUGAAGGGGGUUAGAAUACCUCAGAGGACACAGCUGAGUGUAUCCAUGAGGACAUUCCCUUAGGGCUUUAGUGAAGGAGAGAAGGCCCCUCCUGAAUGUGGACAGAACCACCCCAGGGGCUUUGGUACUGGAGUAAGUAAAAAGGAAACAAUGAGUUGAGCAUCAGCUGUCAUUUCUCUGGGUAUCCUGAAUGGACACAAUAUGAGUAGCUACCACAGCCUCAUUUCCAUGCCUUCUCCCCAGCCCCUUUCCUCAGAUAUCUUAGUGCAGCAAUGGGAGAAGGAAGCAGUAGGACAGAUCCAAAUGACACUGGCCAGAUUCAUACAUUGCUACAGUAUAAGUAGCUAGUAGCUGCUACAAUGAACUUGGGACUUCAAACAGCAACCUUUUAGUCCUCACUUAUGUGGAGAGGGUGGGUUUGGGAUCAGUAGCGAGGCCAUGCUUCUCAGUGACGUUCUGCAAGUUGACCAUAGAAGCUCUAGCUUGGGGACAUCCGUUUGCCAGCUAAAGAAAAAGGGUCCUGGGGCAACUCAGAUGUGCUUGUGUGACAGCAGUGGCAGAGGGGCCCAAGAGGAAAUGGACACAGCUUAAGUGUUUUUUAGGAUUCACUCCUUUUGGUGUAUUAUGGUCCAAGAUAAAUUGCAACUCUGGAUUCCAGCAAGAAAGAACCACAUUCUUCAUAUGAAGACAGGGUGAAUCUGAACAGUUUCAGGGACUUCCUGAAGCAGUUAUGAGCCCCUUAUCUUCCUGCUUAAGGAGCUUUCUUGCAGUAUGGAAUGUUUCAAUCUAGGAGGAAACACAGUCCCAGAGAGACAGUCCAUCAUGGAAGGCAAGAUACCACAAUAAAUAGAGAAGACUUGGUGUCAGGAGCAGAAGGCUGGCCUGUUAAGAUAUAUUUGCACUCAGGAAAAUGAGUGAACCAGAAGUGCGGUGUGGGAAGCCACAUGUGCCGUUGCAGAGUGGCACUGACUACUGCUGGCCACCACGCAUAAGUUUGGACAAACAACUAAUGUGUACAUAUGCAGUAAAGUUUUUUGCAAAGACACUGCCUGGCCCGGGCAUGAUAAUGAGGUUCUGUAAGGUAUUGAGAGUAUAACCAAUCAGAUGUGAGACAUGCAAAUGAGGUAUGAUAAUGAGGUUCUGUAAGGUACUGAGAGAGAGUAACCAAUCAGAUGUGAGACAUGCAAAUGAGGUAUGAUAAUGAGGCUCUGUGAGGUACAGAGAGAGAGUAGCCAAUCAGAUGAGGAACAUGCAAAUGAGGCGUAGUGCAUAACCAAUCCGGGUGUGAGACACGCCCCUCCUAGGCCUAUAAAAGCAGCACCAGUUCUGGGCUCGGGGUCUUUUCGCCUCUACAAUCAAGCUCUCCCAAUAAACGUGUGCAGAAGGAUCCUGUUGCAGCAUCGUUCUUCCUGGCCAGUCGAGCGCGCGCAAGAGUGCAGUAUCUUAAUUGGGGUUUCUAUUGUUGUAAAGAGACACCAUGACCAUGACAACUCUUAUAAAGAUAAAUAUUUCACUGAGGCUGGCUUACAGUUCAGGGGUUUAUCAUCAUAGUAUGAAACAUGGCAACGUGCAGGUGCUAGAGAAGGAGCUGAGAGUUCUCCAUCUUGACCAGCAAGCAACAGGGAAAGAACUGACUUGAGCUUCUGAGACCUCUAAGCCCACCCCCACAGUGACAUACUUCCUCCAAUAAGGCCACACCUCCUAAGAGUGCCACUCCCUAUGAGCCAAACAUUCAAACUUAGGAGUCUAUAGGGGCCACACCGAUCGAGACCACCACAAGGCAUGAUCUAUCAAGCCUCCCAGUGACUUAGCUCUUCCAGUAAGACUUCACCUCCUGAGGAUUCCACAACCUUCCCAAACAGUGCCACUGUCUGGGGGCCAAGUGUUCCUACGUGAGAGGGUCAGAGCACAUUCCACAUACAAACCACACUAGAUGUGUGCACAAGAGUCAGAUUGCCAGACGGCUUCCUAUAGCACUAAGCGGGUUACAUCUCCCUCCCUUGAAAGUACACAAAGGUUUCCCUUUCUGCUCAUCUGUACCAAUUCUUACUUUAAUAGCAGUUAUUCUCAUUGCAGCUUUUUACCUACAUUUCUCUGGUCACUCGUAAUGUUGAGAAUUCUUUUCAGAUAUUGCUUGGUCAUCUGUAGGAAAUAGAUUCUUGAAUUUAUUUUUAAAAUCUCUGUUGAAGUUUUUUUGAAAUAGUGAAGAGUCACUAUCGACAGGCUAUUGUCUUGCCUGUUAAAAAUACUAAUUGAAUACAGCAAACUUAAAAAGCAAAACAGAAAUUCCCUCUGUAUUUUUUGUGGACAAUUAUUCCAGGCUGUGCUUAGGUGUUGGGGGGGAGGGGGGAAGAAGAGAAUAUGAUGUGCAAACAAGCUCUUGUUCUUGUGGCUUCAGCUUCAGACAGCAAGGGUGCUCAGCACAAGUGGAACAACCUUCAAAGACGAGAUUUUGUGAGCAUAAAAUAGACAUGCAAUUCUGAAGUGUAAGUUUGCAAUUUCAAUAGCUUGGUCAUGGCAGGUCCUAUGAAGAAAGUGGUAUGUAAGCGUAGAUAUAAACUGGACAUGAAGUAAGACAUGUGUGCAGAUAAUGUAACAAGAUGUAGCCAAGCAUCAGAUAUUAAUUAUUUUUGCAGAGAACUUUCAUUAAAAGUGUGUCUGGCAUAUUCUGAGCAAGAACACAAAAAUGCUUGCUUAAGGACUCAAUACUUGUGAAGAGAAAAAAAUAUUGAAAAUAAAGUUAACUAAAUAUCAACCAGGAAGAUGGGUGUGUCCAGCUGUUUGACUCUUCUGUCUUUAUUGCUUUGUCUUACUAGUUAAUUCGCUGGAUACAAGGGUAGAUAGUAGGUGACUAGUUUUAAGAAAGUAAUGUGCACAUAUCAUAUGAACUUUUACAUUCUGCAUGGUUCAAAGGCAUAUAAAUAUAUGCCAGGAGAAGCAAGCCUUUUAGGUGCCCUGGCAUGGUAUCAAUGCUCUCACCCCAGACGAAACAAUGUCACCACCAGGUCGUCUAUGUAUCUUUCCAGAGACAUCUCAUGACUGCUAAUAUGCUCUCCCAGGUGAGGUAAUCUGGAAAAGCAAAGUGAGUCUUUGAGACCUGGACAAAGUUUGCUUUCAUAGAUGCAAGUUCAUCCCUGUCCUGUAAUUACAGGCAUCCAAAGAGUAGCCUCAAGCAAGCUCAUCCCAGAUGGGUGGAGUAGGGCCUAUCUUAUGAUGUCACCAAGUCACCUCAUGAAAAAGUUACCUUUGUGUGGUCCCCCCCCCUUUUUUUUCUGGGAGCUACUUGCAUUCUCACAUCCAGAGCUUUCUGUCAUUUCUCCCAGAGACGAAGGGUGACUUCACCAAGCACUUGAAAACAGGUGUAAUAAAGUUAAAACACAAGCUCUGGGUAACGUCAACAAACAAAUAGAAUGAUACUGAAGGGAAAAAUAAGUGGAAAUCCCUGUGCUUCAUCAAUAGGUCCCAGUAGGAGACAGCAGGCUCUUUGUAUGAUGAACACGAAAGAUGCACGUUUGACCUCUCAGUGCAGUG
rnacentral:lncRNA from 1 species